UGAGGAAUAUUGGUCAAUGGACGCAAGUCUGAACCAGCCAAGUAGCGUGCAGGAUGACGGCCCUAUGGGUUGUAAACUGCUUUUAUAUGGGGAUAAAGUGGGGAACGUGUUCCCUUUUGCAGGUACCAUAUGAAUAAGGACCGGCUAAUUCCGUGCCAGCAGCCGCGGUAAUACGGAAGGUUCGGGCGUUAUCCGGAUUUAUUGGGUUUAAAGGGAGCGUAGGCCGUUUGGUAAGCGUGUUGUGAAAUGUAGGAGCUCAACUUCUAGAUUGCAGCGCGAACUGUCAGACUUGAGUGCGCACAACGUAGGCGGAAUUCAUGGUGUAGCGUUGAAAUGCUUAGAUAUCAUGAAGAACUCCGAUUGCGAAGGCAGCUUACGGGAGCGCAACUGACGCUGAAGCUCGAAGGUGCGGGUAUCGAACAGG
rnacentral:rRNA from 1 species